AGAGUUUGAUUCUGGCUCAGAUUGAACGCUGGCGGCGUGCUUAACACAUGCAAGUCGUACGCGAAAGGGACUUCGGUCCCGAGUAAAGUGGCGCACGGGUGAGUAACACGUGGAUAAUCUGCCUCUAUGAUGGGGAUAACAGUUGGAAACGACUGCUAAUACCGAAUACGCUCAUGAUGAACUUUGUGAGGAAAGGUGGCCUCUGCUUGCAAGCUAUCGCAUAGAGAUGAGUCCGCGUCCCAUUAGCUAGUUGGUGGGGUAACGGCCUACCAAGGCAACGAUGGGUAGCCGAUCUGAGAGGAUGAUCGGCCACACUGGAACUGAAACACGGUCCAGACUCCUACGGGAGGCAGCAGUGGGGAAUAUUGCGCAAUGGGCGAAAGCCUGACGCAGCGACGCCGCGUGAGGGAUGAAGGUCUUCGGAUCGUAAACCUCUGUCAGAAGGGAAGAAACUAGGGUGCUCUAAUCAUCAUCCUACUGACGGUACCUUCAAAGGAAGCACCGGCUAACUCCGUGCCAGCAGCCGCGGUAAUACGGAGGGUGCAAGCGUUAAUCGGAAUCACUGGGCGUAAAGCGCACGUAGGCUGUUAUGUAAGUCAGGGGUGAAAUCCCACGGCUCAACCGUGGAACUGCCCUUGAUACUGCACGACUUGAAUCCGGGAGAGGGUGGCGGAAUUCCAGGUGUAGGAGUGAAAUCCGUAGAUAUCUGGAGGAACACCGGUGGCGAAGGCGGCCACCUGGACGGUAACUGACGCUGAGGUGCGAAAGCGUGGGUAGCAAACAGGAUUAGAUACCCUGGUAGUCCACGCUGUAAACGAUGGGUGCUGGGUGCUGGGAUGUAUGUCUCGGUGCCGUAGCUAACGCGAUAAGCACCCCGCCUGGGGAGUACGGUCGCAAGGCUGAAACUCAA
rnacentral:rRNA from 1 species